AUACUAAAGCGCUAUCUCUCCGUGAACAGUAAAUGUCAAAUUGAUUUACUCAUUUGCCCCUGUUUUUUUCUUAUUUACGGUGCUACCAUUGCAUCCCUCCCUCCCGAGUAAAUUACAGCCUACCCUGCCACUUGUUGAUCUGCUGAGCAACCAUGGCGUGUCGAAAGCUGCGCAGACAGAAAAAGGAGAGAGAGAGAGGUUUUCUUCUCUUCUACCGACCAGCACUGCAUCAGUUUGCCUGACAUGCACAGAAAGAAGAAGAGGGGGACGAGAAGAAGAAGAAGAAGAAGAGGAAUCUGUAGAGAUGUUGCACUAAGUAGUAUACAGUCUAUCGCAGCUUGCAGGAGUGCUAUCAAUUCUUCGUUGUUUAAGCAUUGGCUGAAGAACACCGAGAGUGAAAAUGGGAUUUUACACGGCGUGUGUGAUUAUGAUCUGUUUCUCUAUUGCAUUAAUUAAUUUGUUGUCUUCAUUUUAGUGAUUAGUUCUGCACCUGCCUGGGAUUUAAGUGGACAAACAGAGGAGGGACUGUGUUAUAGUCACUGAGUUCGCGAAGCCCCUGAUUGCCUACUGCAUGCCCUUGACUGGUGGUGGACAAAAGAAAUCUUUGUUUGGGAAUUUAAUUACUGAUACAACUCAGUACAGUAGGAAGGUGACCAAGUGGGAAUUUUUGAUGCCAUGAACAGUGCAAAGAAAAUUUGGUUUAGGUAUGAUGUUUAUGAUGGUUUUUGGGUGCAUUUGACUGCAAAGUUUGAAAUCAGCGUAGUUUCUGUGCCAUAAGAUUGCCACCUUGCUGACUUGAUUGUGUGCCAAAGUGGAGAGGACAAGAAAGCUAAAUUGAAAAUAAAGGUUGUAGAAGAAAUCCUGACAGAAAAAAAAAAGGAAAAAUUAUUGCUCCGUUCUUCUUUUGAGGCUUUAAGGUUUAUCCCAGCUUCUGUAUUUUGGGAAGUUCCUUGGUUUCUGUUUUGUAUCUUUGUAUUCAUUAAUUUAGUAGUGUACUGUUUGAAUAAAUUUGAUAUACAUCAAAAAGAGAGACCAAAGUUUUCUAAUGGUCA